CAGUGCCACGAGUGGUAACCACGUUUAUUGGGCCUAAAGCGUCCGUAGCCGGUUUGAUAAAUCUUUUGUGAAAUUGUACAGCUUAACUGUACAGCGUGCAAGAGACACUGUCAAACUUGAGACCGGGAGGAGUCAGAAGUAUUCCAGAGGGAGCGGUAAAAUGUUAUAAUCUCUGGAGGACUACCUGUGGCGAAGGCGUCUGACCAGAACGGAUCUGACGGUGAGGGACGAAAGCUAGGGGAGCGAACCGGAUUAGAUACCCGAGUAGUCC
rnacentral:rRNA from 1 species